AGCGUACACGGUGGAUGCCCUGGCAGUCAGAGGCGAUGAAGGACGUGCUAAUCUGCGAUAAGCGUCGGUAAGGUGAUAUGAACCGUUAUAACCGGCGAUUUCCGAAUGGGGAAACCCAGUGUGAUUCGUCACACUAUCAUUAACUGAAUCCAUAGGUUAAUGAGGCGAACCGGGGGAACUGAAACAUCUAAGUACCCCGAGGAAAAGAAAUCAACCGAGAUUCCCCCAGUAGCGGCGAGCGAACGGGGAGCAGCCCAGAGCCUGAAUCAGUGUGUGUGUUAGUGGAAGCGUCUGGAAAGGCGCGCGAUACAGGGUGACAGCCCCGUACACAAAAAUGCACAUGCUGUGAGCUCGAUGAGUAGGGCGGGACACGUGGUAUCCUGUCUGAAUAUGGGGGGACCAUCCUCCAAGGCUAAAUACUCCUGACUGACCGAUAGUGAACCAGUACCGUGAGGGAAAGGCGAAAAGAACCCCGGCGAGGGGAGUGAAAAAGAACCUGAAACCGUGUACGUACAAGCAGUGGGAGCACAGAGCAAUCUGUGUGACUGCGUACCUUUUGUAUAAUGGGUCAGCGACUUAUAUUCUGUAGCAAGGUUAACCGAAUAGGGGAGCCGAAGGGAAACCGAGUCUUAACUGGGCGUUAAGUUGCAGGGUAUAGACCCGAAACCCGGUGAUCUAGCCAUGGGCAGGUUGAAGGUUGGGUAACACUAACUGGAGGACCGAACCGACUAAUGUUGAAAAAUUAGCGGAUGACUUGUGGCUGGGGGUGAAAGGCCAAUCAAACCGGGAGAUAGCUGGUUCUCCCCGAAAGCUAUUUAGGUAGCGCCUCGUGAAUUCAUCUCCGGGGGUAGAGCACUGUUUCGGCAAGGGGGUCAUCCCGACUUACCAACCCGAUGCAAACUGCGAAUACCGGAGAAUGUUAUCACGGGAGACACACGGCGGGUGCUAACGUCCGUCGUGAAGAGGGAAACAACCCAGACCGCCAGCUAAGGUCCCAAAGUCAUGGUUAAGUGGGAAACGAUGUGGGAAGGCCCAGACAGCCAGGAUGUUGGCUUAGAAGCAGCCAUCAUUUAAAGAAAGCGUAAUAGCUCACUGGUCGAGUCGGCCUGCGCGGAAGAUGUAACGGGGCUAAACCAUGCACCGAAGCUGCGGCAGCGACGCUGAUGCGUUGUUGGGUAGGGGAGCGUUCUGUAAGCCUGCGAAGGUGUGCUGUGAGGCAUGCUGGAGGUAUCAGAAGUGCGAAUGCUGACAUAAGUAACGAUAAAGCGGGUGAAAAGCCCGCUCGCCGGAAGACCAAGGGUUCCUGUCCAACGUUAAUCGGGGCAGGGUGAGUCGACCCCUAAGGCGAGGCCGAAAGGCGUAGUCGAUGGGAAACAGGUUAAUAUUCCUGUACUUGGUGUUACUGCGAAGGGGGGACGGAGAAGGCUAUGUUGGCCGGGCGACGGUUGUCCCGGUUUAAGCGUGUAGGCUGGUUUUCCAGGCAAAUCCGGAAAAUCAAGGCUGAGGCGUGAUGACGAGGCACUACGGUGCUGAAGCAACAAAUGCCCUGCUUCCAGGAAAAGCCUCUAAGCAUCAGGUAACAUCAAAUCGUACCCCAAACCGACACAGGUGGUCAGGUAGAGAAUACCAAGGCGCUUGAGAGAACUCGGGUGAAGGAACUAGGCAAAAUGGUGCCGUAACUUCGGGAGAAGGCACGCUGAUAUGUAGGUGAAGUCCCUCGCGGAUGGAGCUGAAAUCAGUCGAAGAUACCAGCUGGCUGCAACUGUUUAUUAAAAACACAGCACUGUGCAAACACGAAAGUGGACGUAUACGGUGUGACGCCUGCCCGGUGCCGGAAGGUUAAUUGAUGGGGUUAGCGCAAGCGAAGCUCUUGAUCGAAGCCCCGGUAAACGGCGGCCGUAACUAUAACGGUCCUAAGGUAGCGAAAUUCCUUGUCGGGUAAGUUCCGACCUGCACGAAUGGCGUAAUGAUGGCCAGGCUGUCUCCACCCGAGACUCAGUGAAAUUGAACUCGCUGUGAAGAUGCAGUGUACCCGCGGCAAGACGGAAAGACCCCGUGAACCUUUACUAUAGCUUGACACUGAACAUUGAGCCUUGAUGUGUAGGAUAGGUGGGAGGCUUUGAAGUGUGGACGCCAGUCUGCAUGGAGCCGACCUUGAAAUACCACCCUUUAAUGUUUGAUGUUCUAACGUGGACCCGUAAUCCGGGUUGCGGACAGUGUCUGGUGGGUAGUUUGACUGGGGCGGUCUCCUCCUAAAGAGUAACGGAGGAGCACGAAGGUUGGCUAAUCCUGGUCGGACAUCAGGAGGUUAGUGCAAUGGCAUAAGCCAGCUUGACUGCGAGCGUGACGGCGCGAGCAGGUGCGAAAGCAGGUCAUAGUGAUCCGGUGGUUCUGAAUGGAAGGGCCAUCGCUCAACGGAUAAAAGGUACUCCGGGGAUAACAGGCUGAUACCGCCCAAGAGUUCAUAUCGACGGCGGUGUUUGGCACCUCGAUGUCGGCUCAUCACAUCCUGGGGCUGAAGUAGGUCCCAAGGGUAUGGCUGUUCGCCAUUUAAAGUGGUACGCGAGCUGGGUUUAGAACGUCGUGAGACAGUUCGGUCCCUAUCUGCCGUGGGCGCUGGAGAAUUGAGGGGGGCUGCUCCUAGUACGAGAGGACCGGAGUGGACGCAUCACUGGUGUUCGGGUUGUCAUGCCAAUGGCACUGCCCGGUAGCUAAAUGCGGAAGAGAUAAGUGCUGAAAGCAUCUAAGCACGAAACUUGCCCCGAGAUGAGUUCUCCCUGACUCCUUGA
rnacentral:rRNA from 1 species